UAGAAUACUGAGGCCUAGCUGA
rnacentral:miRNA from 1 species